GUGGGGAAUAUUGGACAAUAGGCGAAAGCCUGAUCCAGCCAUGCCGCGUGUGUGAAGAAGGUCUUCGGAUUGUAAAGCACUUUAAGUUGGGAGGAAGGGCAGUAAGUUAAUACCUUGCUGUUUUGACGUUACCGACAGAAUAAGCACCGGCUAACUUCGUGCCAGCAGCCGCGGUAAUACGAAGGGUGCAAGCGUUAAUCGGAAUUACUGGGCGUAAAGCGCGCGUAGGUGGUUUUGUAAGUUGGAGGUGAAAUCCCCGGGCUCAACCUGGGAACUGCCUCCAAAACUGCAUGACUAGAGUACGGUAGAGGGUAGUGGAAUUUCCUGUGUAGCGGUGAAAUGCGUAGAUAUAGGAAGGAACACCAGUGGCGAAGGCGACUACCUGGACUGAUACUGACACUGAGGUGCGAAAGCGUGGGGAGCAAACAGGAUUAGAUACCCCUGUAGUCC
rnacentral:rRNA from 1 species